rnacentral:rRNA from 1 species
UACGAAGGGGGCAAGCGUUAUUCGGAUUUAUUGGGCGUAAAGGGCGUGUAGGCGGCUUGGUAAGUCCGGUGUGAAAACGCUACCGCUCAACGGAGCGAAUGCGCUGGAUACUAUCAAACUUGAGUGCGAGAGAGGUGAGGAGAAUACCUGGUGUAGCGGUGGAAUGCUUAGAUAUCAGGUAGAAUACCCGAGGCGAAGGCGCCUCACUGGCUCGUUACUGACGCUAAGGCGCGAAAGCGUGGGGAUCAAACGGG